UGGUGGGAUACUACCCUGGCUGUAUGACCAUUCUAACCCGCCACGCUUAGCGCGUGGGGAGACAGUGUCAGGUGGGCAGUUUGACUGGGGCGGUCGCCUCCUAAAGAGUAACGGAGGCGCCCAAAGGGUCCCUCAGAAUGGAUGGAAAUCAUUCGCAGAGUGUAAAGGCACAAGGGAGCUUGACUGCGAGACUGACAAGUCGAGCAGGGACGAAAGUCGGGCUUAGUGAUCCGGUGGUUCCGCAUGGAAGGGCCA
rnacentral:rRNA from 1 species